CUUUGAAGACAUCAACUCUUUCUCCUAAGGAAUUUCUUGGCAAUUGUCAAUUGCUAAGCACAUGACUUCAUGAGUGUACCCUAACACACACCCAUGUUGUAACCUACCAUGCAGUCUAUUUCUGGAUGUGAUUUAAAGCACCCGUAAUAAUGAGACAGGAGAACUUUUGACUGCAUAUUCAAGCUGGUAUGAAAUCUCAGGAAGUUUUAAUGGCUGACAUUGGUGAAUGAGGACGAUUUGAGUUAUGAUGAGACAUUUUUGGGCAAGAUAUGGAAGGAAACAUUCAUUUAGAUGCAUAGGAAUUACUAAGGUUUUUUAUAAUCAAGCCUUGAGGAAAAUUUGGCUUUGGAAGCAGGAGAUGCUCAGUGGCUCUCCCCAGGAAAGUCUCCUGGAAAGGGCACCUCAGCUUAUGCUCAGUACAGGGAGAACAUUAGCAGGGAGGGAAAGUCUGCUCCCCAUGACAUCAGCUGUCCCUUCUUGGACAUUCUAUUGUCUCCUAGAGAGUUCUGGCAUCCUCUGUGAUGGCACCAGUGUUGUAGUGACAACCAGUGCCCUAGUUUCUCUCACUCUGAGUCUGGCGGUUACACCCUAAGACAUGUUUUCCCUUCUUCGCAAGCGUUUUGGGAGGGGGAACGUUGAUUCUGGAGAGACUAGAGUGAAGGAGUCUGGCCUUUCAUCUCAAAGUAAUGAUGGACAAAUACAGCACUUCUGGGGAAUGUGGAACGCUGGGAGAGAAACAUCAUCCCCUGAAACUGCCCUAAGCAAGAAUCAGGCCAAGAAGGAAAAGGAGAGGCUGAUUGAAGAGCUGCGGCUCAUUACCGAGGAGAGAAAUGACCUGAGAGAUCGCCCGAGGUUCCUGACAGAGAGAUCCAAGAACUACAGACCACACUUCAGGCCAAAUCCAUAUUAUGAAGGCCUGGAGAGAAUGGAGGAGGCGGUCAUGUCAAUUCUGCACAAGUUAGAGAUGGAGAACACUGAAAUCCAUGAGACCAACCAUAAGCUGAAGAAGGAGAUGACCUUCUCUAGGUAAGUCCUGGUCAGAAAGGUUAUCACUUGUGGAAUGGCCAUUUCUGACUUUCUUUGUUCUGGAUUGGACAGUCUUCAGCUAUGAUUCUAUCUCUUGUGCUGUUUACACAUCAGUGUGCCAGGGUCAUUAGGACUCAGUUUUCAGUUCCAUAAAAGAGUGUUCCUCAUCCCAGGAUUGUCUAGGCAUCUGCAGAAGGCUCUACAUAGAACAGCUCGGAUUAAAGUCAGCAGGUUAUUAGGCUGACCUGUACCUCUGGGGUCACACCAGGUUUUACAACACUCAGUGUGUGGACCACAUGGUUAGCAUGACCUUCUCUUGGUACUACUGACCUCUUUUGAGGGUGUUGGCCCAUUGCUAAUUGAUGUUGCCCCCAUGCAUUGGGCUUUCAUGGAUAGUUGUAGAUCCGUGUUCUUUUUGAGAGAUGUGGACACUAAUUGGUGCUCGGUCCAAGCAAACAAUUUUUUCUUCCCCGAAUUAACUCUUUGUGGUUUGUGCAGCAGCAUUAUGUGUAUCGAGAUGUAUUUUAUUAAGUCUUCAUGGGUAUCUGGGACCUGGUAGAGUUAGUGGGACUUGGGAGUAGGAAUGGGAGAAAGGGGCAGCAUGAUCUUACUAUGCAGACUGUAUUUCCAGAAACCUGCUCAGCCAGCUCCUGAUGGAGAACACAUGCAGGAAGAAGUUGGUCCCACGGAAGCAGGGGAGCAAGGAGGGACAUCUUGAGUGUGCACUGAACCAGAAAUAUUUGGUUGACUUCAACAAGAAAGAUAAAGACCAGCAACGUCCAUACCCAGCAUCAUCUGGUCUCAGAAAGUGCAAGAGAGCUGGAAUUGGACACACCCCAGUAAGAGAGCUUCCUGAAGAAUGAGUUGCUUUCUCAGGAGUCCCUGAUGACAAACAUCCUGAAUGGUAACAAUAUUUUUUAGAUGAAUAUUCUUCCUCAGAGUUAAUUUGUCAUUUCUUAGAGACCCUCAAUUUAUAUAACACUAAACCAGCCUGACUGAUUGAGGUCUUACUCACUUUCUUCUUCAGAAAACACAACUUGAGAGACAGCUUGGGGGACCACCUUUCAUUAUGUGUGCUAGAGGAGAAACAGCAAAUACGUCUGUGCUUCUACAUGUUCCUUUAGAAUAUGCUGUUUAGAAAUUUUUUGUUAUGAUUUUAAUUGAAGUUUUCUCUUUGUUAUUUCAUAUUUAUAUGUUCUUGAUAAUAUUUUUCACUUUCAAAUAUUUUUAAAUAUUUUUAUUCAUUUUAAUCCUGUUUUGUUGUAAAAAUGUAUUUGUUAUGAAUAAAAAUUGAAUUCU